ensembl:lncRNA
GUCCUCCAGAGGGUGAGAGCACACAGGCAGAGCCCCCUUUGUCUCUCUGUUUGCAUCUCCAGGCUCAGAAGGGGAUUGGAAAUGGAUCCAUGGAACCUCAAGGAGGUGCACAGAGCCUGGUGUUUGUUUUCAUGGUGCCUCUGAUACUGUGGGCCAAUUUGACUUGAUUCAGUGAGGGGAUGGUAUUGUGCCAUCACAUGUCUAAUUCAAUUCCUCUAAGUCAGGUGGCCAAAAUAUGAGUGAGUUUGACUGGCUCUCUGGGAUCUAUGUGUCCUUUGCUGUUUGGAGGCAGAAACCUGGCUUGAAUCCUGGAUGUGCACUUUUCAAAUCAACCUGGCAGGGAGUUUGAAUUCUAGAAAGCUGGGCUUCAGAGUGUUACUGUAGCAUGUCCAUGAGUAGGUCCACACUUUCAGAGUGUGAGCUGUGCUUAUGACUCAGUUCUUUCUCUCCAGAGAUUUCCACAGCCUCUGUCUUCCCUCUGAACCUGAUGCUUCAGCCUUUGUUGGACACCCAUAUGAAGGAACCUGUCUAAAUCCAUGCUCAGAAGGGGAUUAAAGUUGGACACAUGGAGAUGCCCAGAGCCUGCUGUUUUAUUCAUGGUGCCUCUGACCCUGUGGCCCAAUUUGCCUCAACUCAGUGAGAGAUCUCCACAACCUUCAUCUUCCCUCUGCACCUGAGCUGCUUCAGCCUCUGCAGGACACCCAUUCAAAGGAAGCUCUCUAAAUCCAUGUACGGUGAAUCACGAAUCACGGCUGGGUUGUUUAGAAUUACAAGCAGAGUCAUGGGGAGGAAGGUUGCUGAUUCUAAGCCUGCUGUCCUGACUUAAAUAGGAGCGUUGCUGACUUCAGGCAGUGGCAGAAAGUUGGGUAUGGUGAGUGGCCUGGCCCACUGUGAGUAAGUCACUCCCAUGUGUAUUUGUGUGUCAUGAGAGGGAGAGGGGUAAGAGCAUCACACUGACAAGUGUCCCAGGCCAGUGCAGGUCAAGAUCCCUACAUGGAGGCAGAGGAAAUGCUGAGAGUUGCUGUUAGAGCAGAUUAGCACCAUCUGACACCAGAGCACAAGAGAUCCCCUGCCCUCGCCACAGGUCCCAGACUUCACCUUCAGGCUUGGAGGCAAGUUUGGAGAUGGGUCCUUGGUCUGGUGGCCCAACUGCUAGAGAAUUAGACAGGCUCUCUCUGGUCUGAGUCCCCAUCAUGGGUUGAAUGCAAAACUCUGGACCCAGAAAUACCUGGCUGGGAUUUUUCCCUACACUUGGCUAUCAUCAG